rnacentral:tRNA from 3 species
UAGGGUAUGGUGUAAUAGGAAACACGGAGAGUUUUGAUUUCUCAAAUACAGGUUCAAGUCCUGUUUUUCUAG